rnacentral:rRNA from 1 species
CAGUCGCCGCGGGAAUACGUAUGUCACAAGCGUUAUCCGGAUUUAUUGGGCGUAAAGCGCGUCUAGGUGGUUAUGUAAGUCUGAUGUGAAAAUGCAGGGCUCAACUCUGUAUUGCGUUGGAAACUGUGUAACUAGAGUACUGGAGAGGUAAGCGGAACUACAAGUGUAGAGGUGAAAUUCGUAGAUAUUUGUAGGAAUGCCGAUGGGGAAGCCAGCUUACUGGACAGAUACUGACGCUAAAGCGCGAAAGCGUGGGUAGCAAACAGGAUUAGAUACCCCAGUAGUCCCUGUCUCUUAUACC